AGUGAACGCUGGCGGUAGGCCUAACACAUGCAAGUCGAACGGCAGCACAGUAAGAGCUUGCUCUUACGGGUGGCGAGUGGCGGACGGGUGAGGAAUACAUCGGAAUCUACUUUUUCGUGGGGGAUAACGUAGGGAAACUUACGCUAAUACCGCAUACGACCUACGGGUGAAAGCAGGGGAUCUUCGGACCUUGCGCGAUUGAAUGAGCCGAUGUCGGAUUAGCUAGUUGGCGGGGUAAAGGCCCACCAAGGCGACGAUCCGUAGCUGGUCUGAGAGGAUGAUCAGCCACACUGGAACUGAGACACGGUCCAGACUCCUACAGGAGGCAGCAGUGGGGAAUAUUGGACAAUGGGCGCAAGCCUGAUCCAGCCAUACCGCGUGGAUGAAGAAGGCCUUCGGGUUGUAAAGCCCUUUUGUUGGGAAAGAAAAGCAGCAGGUUAAUACCCCGCUGUUCUGACGGUACCCAAAGAAUAAGCACCGGCUAACUUCGUG
rnacentral:rRNA from 1 species